UAAAGCUAGAUUACCAAAGCA
rnacentral:miRNA from 1 species